GACCUGAUAGCACAGUUGGUUAGUGUGUCUGUUGAAUUUACCUCCCUUUCGGAACAUUUGUUAAUGGACAAUCCCGGUUCGAAUCCGGGUCAGGUCA